AUUGAACGCUGGCGGCAGGCCUAACACAUGCAAGUCGGGCGGAUGAAGGGAGCUUGCUCCUGGAUUCAGCGGCGGACGGGUGAGUAAUGCCUAGGAAUCUGCCUGGUAGUGGGGGAUAACGUCCGGAAACGGGCGCUAAUACCGCAUACGUCCUGAGGGAGAAAGUGGGGGAUCUUCGGACCUCACGCUAUCAGAUGAGCCUAGGUCGGAUUAGCUAGUUGGUGGGGUAAAGGCCUACCAAGGCGACGAUCCGUAACUGGUCUGAGAGGAUGAUCAGUCCCAUGGGAACGUGACCGGGGCCCAUACGCCUGGGGGAGGGCCCAGGGGGGAAUGUUGGACAGGGGUCGAAAGUCUUACACAACCAGCCGGAGUGUGAGAAGACGGUCUUGGUUUUGUAAAGCAUUUUAUGGGGGGGGAAAGGGCAUUAGUUUAUUACCUUGCUUUUUUGACGUUACCAAAAAAAGAAGCACCGGCUAACUUCGUG
rnacentral:rRNA from 1 species